rnacentral:lncRNA from 1 species
AGUAUAUUUUCAAUAUUUUCUUCCUUUCCUUUCUUUCUUUCCUUUUUUCAACGUUUUUUUUUCUUCCUUUUCUUUGGUUCUUUUUGCUCUCCAGAGAAAUUUUUCUUUCUUCCUUUGGUUCUUUUUUUUUUUUUCUUUCUGUUUCUCGUUCCCUUUUUUUUUUUCUCAUUCUUUCUUCAUUCUUUCUUUGAAGCAAAACCCUACACAAACAAAAGUUAAGACAAUCGAAAAUUUCAAUUGGUUAGA